rnacentral:lncRNA from 1 species
UCAGUGUGUGUCAGCCUGUAUAUGUGUGUGUGUGUGUGUGUGUGUCAGUCUAUGUGUGUGUUUGUGUGUGUCAGUGUGUGUCAGUCUGUAUGUGUGUGUGUGUGUGUCAGUCUGUGUGUGUGUGUUUGUCAGUGUGUGUCAGUCUGUGUGUGUGUGUGUGCGUGUGUGUGUGUUUGUCAGUGUGUGUCAGCCUGUAUAUGUGUGUGUGUGUGUGUUUUUACACUGCCUGUGUCUCAGAACGGUCUCAGAUGUGUGUGUGUGUGUGUGUGUGUGUGUGCCUCCACAGAGACCUUGCUGUGCUCAUGUUGUCCCGUGGGCGGGAUGUGUAUGUUUUCGGGGGCGUGUCUUCCCUGCCCGCAGGGAGCCUAUCAGCCGCUAGCAGCACAGCAGCACUGCGUCCCCUGUGAGCCAGGAUUCUACAGCAAUCUGACAGGUAGUCCCGUGUGUCAGUCAUGUCCUCUGGGCUUCUACAACAACGCCUCAGGAUCCACUACCUGCAGCAGCUGUUCCCCAGGUCAGAACACACACACACACACACACAAACACACACACAUAUACACACACAAAUACACAAACACACACACACACACACGUAUACACAGACACAGACACAGACACAGACACAGACACAGACACAGACACAGACACAGACACAGACACAGACACAGACACAGACACAGACACAGACACAGACACAGACACAGACACACACACAGACACAGACACACACACACAGUAAGAGAGAGUUUGAUAUUGUGUGAGAGAGAGUUUUAGUGAUUGAUCAAGGAUAGGAUUUAUUGUCCUAUUCUGUCCGACGGACUAUACAUUAUCCCUCACAUAUAUACACACACACAUAUAUAGAUACACACACAUACACACACACAUAUAUAGAUAUAAACACAUAGAUACACACACAUACACACACACACACACACACACACACACAUAUAUAGAUAUAGACACAUAGAUACAGACACAUACACACACACAUAUAUAUACACAUGCGGCACACACAUUCAGUCACACACAUGCAUGAUAAUGUAUAUAUAUAUAUACAUAAAAUAAAACAUACAUAUAUAAUAAUUUCA